CCCAUGGCUCAGAUUGAACGCUGGCGGCAGGCCUAACACAUGCAAGUCGAGCGGUAGAGAGAAGCUUGCUUCUCUUGAGAGCGGCGGACGGGUGAGUAAUGCCUAGGAAUCUGCCUGGUAGUGGGGGAUAACGUUCGGAAACGGACGCUAAUACCGCAUACGUCCUACGGGAGAAAGCAGGGGACCUUCGGGCCUUGCGCUAUCAGAUGAGCCUAGGUCGGAUUAGCUAGUUGGUGGGGUAAUGGCUCACCAAGGCGACGAUCCGUAACUGGUCUGAGAGGAUGAUCAGUCACACUGGAACUGAGACACGGUCCAGACUCCUACGGGAGGCAGCAGUGGGGAAUAUUGGACAAUGGGCGAAAGCCUGAUCCAGCCAUGCCGCGUGUGUGAAGAAGGUCUUCGGAUUGUAAAGCACUUUAAGUUGGGAGGAAGGGCAGUUACCUAAUACGUGAUUGUUUUGACGUUACCGACAGAAUAAGCACCG
rnacentral:rRNA from 1 species